AUAACCCCGGGACGUUGGGGAUAAUUCCGGAUAACGCAUAUGUGCUGGAAUGCUUUAUGCGUAAAAUGGAUUCGUCCGCCCAAGGAUGGGUCUGCGGCCUAUCAGGUAGUAGUGGGUGUAAUGUACCUACUAGCCGACAACGGGUACGGGUUGUGAGAGCAAGAGCCCGGAGAUGGAUUCUGAGACAUGAAUCCAGGCCCUACGGGGCGCAGCAGGCGCGAAAACUUUACAAUGCGGGAAACCGUGAUAAGGGGACACCGAGUGUCAGCAUCAUAUGCUGGCUGUCCAGGUGUGUAAAAUACACCUGUUAGCAAGGGCCGGGCAAGACCGGUGCCAGCCGCCGCGGUAACACCGGCGGCCCGAGUGGUGAUCGUGAUUAUUGGGUCUAAAGGGUCCGUAGCCGGUUUGGUCAGUCCUCCGGGAAAUCUGAUAGCUCAACUAUUAGGCUAUCGGGGGAUACUACCAGACUUGGAACCGGGAGAGGUAAGAGGUACUACAGGGGUAGGAGUGAAAUCUUGUAAUCCCUGUGGGACCACCUGUGGCGAAGGCGUCUUACCAGAACGGGUUCGACGGUGAGGGACGAAAGCUGGGGGCACGAACCGGAUUAGAUACCCGGGUAGUCCCAGCCGUAAACGAUGCUCGCUAGGUGUCAGGCAUGGCGCGACCGUGUCUGGUGCCGCAGGAAGCCGUGAAGCGAGCCACCUGGGAAGUACGGCCGCAAGGCUGAAACUUAAAGGAAUUGGCGGGGGAGCA
rnacentral:rRNA from 1 species